AUUGAACGCUGGCGGCAUGCUUUACACAUGCAAGUCGAACGGCAGCGCGGGCUUCGGUCUGGCGGCGAGUGGCGAACGGGUGAGUAAUGCAUCGGAACGUGCCCAGUAGUGGGGGAUAGCCCGGCGAAAGCCGGAUUAAUACCGCAUACGACCUGAGGGUGAAAGCGGGGGACCGAAAGGCCUCGCGCUAUUGGAGCGGCCGAUGUCGGAUUAGCUAGUUGGUGGGGUAAAGGCUUACCAAGGCGACGAUCCGUAGCUGGUCUGAGAGGGCGACCAGCCACACUGGGACUGAGACACGGCCCAGACUCCUACGGGAGGCAGCAGUGGGGAAUUUUGGACAAUGGGGGCAACCCUGAUCCAGCCAUGCCGCGUGCGGGAAGAAGGCCUUCGGGUUGUAAACCGCUUUUGUUCGGGAAGAAAUCCUCUGGGCUAAUACCCCGGGGGGAUGACGGUACCGGAAGAAUAAGCACCGGCUAACUACGUG
rnacentral:rRNA from 1 species